UAGGAAUAGUGAUGAUAACAACAAGAGGCGGCGGGGGGGGCGAUGCGUGGUGCGCGGAGGGACUUGCCCACCCCAGCUGCCAACGCACUCGAGACCCGACAGCCCCGCUCUCGGCGUGGGACGCGAGCAGCCCCAAACUCGAGCCCCGCUGAGCCCCACAGGCUGAACCUCAACCCCUCACCCUGCCUGGCCGAGACCCUGAAGAAGGGAGGGCCCUCCCAAAAGACCUGUCCUCGUCCCCCAAGGCUGUCUGCCUUGAGGCGGGAGCGGAGGAGAUAAGUGAGUGGGAAAUACCGGGGCGAAAAGCGGGGAGGGAGCCACGUCGUAGUCCGAUGUGGGGCAGCAUUCGUGGCCGCCGCCCUCCCUCCACCACCAACCUCCCCCCCCCCGUCCCUCUGCCGCCUCUUCCCUUCUUCCCCCCCGUUCGAGUGGGGCUGGAGAAGCCUCUACCGGGCUGCUUACGAGUGACGGUGCAGAGCAGGCGGCUGCGGAGCGCGGAGAGGAGGGAACGGGGUAUAAGCUGGCUACGAAAAUAAAAGAGCAGAAGAAACGUCGCAAAAAUGGGGAUCAUCUCCCUUCAGCUGGUGCUGAAAGCCAAACCUCUCCGUGCCUGGAGAUUCGGUUGUUCUAUCCACUCACCCCGGGCUGGAGCUGAAGUUGGCUUUCUGCAUGCUCGCCAAAACAUCCUUAACAAAGAGUUUGCUGAGCUUCUGGAAACCUUAACAUUUAGCGAUUAUUUGAAGUACGGAUGAAAGUAUUGUAGUUUUCGCCCCCUCUUCUCCUGCCUCUCCUCUCGGUUUCUGCCUCUGUACCUCUAAUAAGGAGAGAUGUACUUAACCAGAAAAGAAAGGGCAUUGGCUUAUUAUUAUUAUUAUUAUUAUUAUUAUUAUUAUUUCCAAAGGAGAUGCACUGUGAGGGUGCAUUCGCACUGGAAGCUUUUAGGUAAGGAAUUAGAUUGUGUGUGUGUGUGUGUGUACAGAGAAAGCUCUAAAUUUAUUUUUUCCCUUCCUGAAAAAAAAUUAAAUAUUUUUCUCCCGCCAAAUUUCCGUUACUUCACCUAAUAUUAUCUCUUCAUCGUUCUACAUGUUUUCAUUUCAAUAUCUAAGUCCUGUAGAAAAAAAAAUAAUAAAAAAAGGAAAAAGAGAGUAAUUAAAAGAAAAUACUUUAAAAAUACCUUCUACUAUAUCCACAGUAUCUGCACCUCCACUUUUCUAAAAAAUAAUUUUCACAUGUACAGCCAUGAGCAGUUCGGAUUAUUUACAUAUAUGAUAAGAAGAUAAGGAUGAAGAGUCAAGGGAGAAAAUUCAAGUGUGAAAUGAUGAAUACUGGGUUUAGAGGACGAUAGUUACUAAAAGUACUGAUGGGGAAAAAAUCCUCCAAAAAAAUGGUGGGGAAAAAUAAUGAGAAGAUGUGGAAAUGGAUUUUUUUCAUGCAUUUAUUUAUGUUCAACCCGGCGCCCUGUCUCAUCUCCGUGGCUGCAGCGACCACCCGAAAUCUGAGCAUUAUUAAUGCUGUUAUGUAUUCGUUUGUCUAUCCGUGGACGAAAAUCCAAGAAAUCGCCUACUUUGAUGGUAUUUCGAUCACCCAGGACGACCGGUGCAGACUCGUAUUUUUAGCAGUAAAAGGCCGAUAUUAGGUAACGCGUGGGCGCGGGGGCGGGGGAGAACGGGGGUGACAUUUAUUGUUCCUAUUUCCCCCGUCAUGUUCAAGUGGCAAGUGUCUGCGGUGGGGGGGGGGGGACAUGCAGCUCUCCCCACGCUGCUCGUGCCACAGGCAGCGGCGCAGGCGGGGGGGGAGGGGCGCGCUGCCAACCCCUCCACCCCCGGGGCUUGUUCAAAAGCCGCUGCUGUGAUUCGCGGGGCCACCGCGCAGUAACGCGGGGCGAGGAGGGGAGCCGGGGGGAGGGAUGCUGCGAGGCGGACCCCCGGCAGCCCGGCCUGGGGGGUGCUCCGGGGGCGCAGACGGCUGCCACCCCUGUCCCGUCGUAGCUGCGGCGAGGCGCGGGUUGCACAAAAUGGCAGUGCCUUCCAAAAACAAGACUCGGAUGAAACUCUUCUUCUGGAAUUUAACUGAAAGAAAACACCUUAGAAAACUGGACCUUUUGCUUCACUUUUUUUUUUUUUUCCUAAGUUUCCAAAGAAAUGCGAGCUUCCCUUCUUCUCUAGGAAAAGGUAACCAUUGCUCUUCUUUACACUAGACAUUUCUAAUUUGUUCCGUCUGUCAAAAUGGGACUAUGACAAGUUUUGGUGCAAAUUCAUUAUCUCUGGCAACAUAUAACCUAUAAUAGGAACUGAAAAAGACCGUGGCAAUGGAUGAACAAUAGGGCUUCAGUUCAUCAGCAACAAAAGCAUUGGGGAAAUUGCUUGAAUUUCAGAGCACGUCCUCCUCAGCAGAGAGGGCUGGACUAGACCUUUGCCAACUCCCCCCAAAAACUUGCAGAGCCUCACAUACAACAGUUCACUUUCUACUCCGGGGCAUAGGAAGCACUGCAGAAAAAAAAAAAAAAACAUAAUGGCAAACCCAAGCCAACUUUCUGUGUUUCUCUCCUGUUUUUCUGGAUGGAACAUUUCUAACUCUUUUAGAGUCGUUGGAACAAGAAUAACACCGUGGAGCUAAGCAGCACUUUUAAAUAGGGAUGGCGAGGGGAAAGACAUGAAUUUCUGGAAAAUUGAAAGAGCUUUCUCUGCUCUGAGGGGCCUUGGCCGUGGGGAUAUUUGUUUGUCACCGUUGGCUCAGCUUUCCCCCUAGAUCUGGGGUCACAUCUUUCCCUGAUAAAGGCGAAGAAAUGUAAGUACCGCAA